UGUGUCACUCGAUGACCACUGU
rnacentral:miRNA from 3 species